rnacentral:rRNA from 1 species
GAUGAACGCUGGCGGCGUGCCUAAUACAUGCAAGUCGAGCGAACAGAUGAGGAGCUUGCUCCUCUGACGUUAGCGGCGGACGGGUGAGUAACACGUGGAUAACCUACCUAUAAGACUGGGAUAACUUCGGGAAACCGGAGCUAAUACCGGAUAAUAUAUUGAACCGCAUGGUUCAAUAGUGAAAGACGGUUUUGCUGUCACUUAUAGAUGGAUCCGCGCCGCAUUAGCUAGUUGGUAAGGUAACGGCUUACCAAGGCAACGAUGCGUAGCCGACCUGAGAGGGUGAUCGGCCACACUGGAACUGAGACACGGUCCAGACUCCUACGGGAGGCAGCAGUAGGGAAUCUUCCGCAAUGGGCGAAAGCCUGACGGAGCAACGCCGCGUGAGUGAUGAAGGUCUUCGGAUCGUAAAACUCUGUUAUUAGGGAAGAACAAAUGUGUAAGUAACUAUGCACGUCUUGACGGUACCUAAUCAGAAAGCCAUGGCUAACUACGUG